rnacentral:rRNA from 1 species
GUCGAGCGGAUGAAGAGAGCUUGCUCUCUGAUUCAGCGGCGGACGGGUGAGUAAUGCCUAGGAAUCUGCCUGGUAGUGGGGGACAACGUCUCGAAAGGGACGCUAAUACCGCAUACGUCCUACGGGAGAAAGCAGGGGACCUUCGGGCCUUGCGCUAUCAGAUGAGCCUAGGUCGGAUUAGCUAGUUGGUGAGGUAAUGGCUCACCAAGGCGACGAUCCGUAACUGGUCUGAGAGGAUGAUCAGUCACACUGGAACUGAGACACGGUCCAGACUCCUACGGGAGGCAGCAGUGGGGAAUAUUGGACAAUGGGCGAAAGCCUGAUCCAGCCAUGCCGCGUGUGUGAAGAAGGUCUUCGGAUUGUAAAGCACUUUAAGUUGGGAGGAAGGGCAGUGAGCUAAUACCUUGCUGUUUUGACGUUNNNNNNNGNNNAAGCACCGGCUAACUCUGUGCCAGCAGCCGCG